GCUCAGGACGAACGCUGGCGGCGUGCUUAACACAUGCAAGUCGAACGAAGAGCGAUGGAAGCUUGCUUCUAUCAAUCUUAGUGGCGAACGGGUGAGUAACGCGUAAUCAACCUGCCCUUCAGAGGGGGACAACAGUUGGAAACGACUGCUAAUACCGCAUACGAUUUAAUCUCGGCAUCGAGGAUAGAUGAAAGGUGGCCUCUACAUGUAAGCUAUCACUGAAGGAGGGGAUUGCGUCUGAUUAGCUAGUUGGAGGGGUAACGGCCCACCAAGGCGAUGAUCAGUAGCCGGUCUGAGGGGAUGAACGGCCACAUUGGGACUGAGACACGGCCCAGACUCCUACGGGAGGCAGCAGUA
rnacentral:rRNA from 1 species